CAAUAGCGUAUAUUUAAGUUGUUGCAGUUAAAAAGCUCGUAGUUGGAUUUCGGAUGGGACUUGCCGGUCCGUCGUUUCGAUGUGCACUGGCCAGUCCUAUCUUGUUGUCGGGGACUAGCUCCUGGGCUACACUGUCCGGGACUAGGAGCUGACGAGGUUACUUUGAGUAAAUUAGAGUGUUCAAAGCAAGCCUACGCUCUGAAUACAUUAGCAUGGAAUAACACGAUAGGACUCUGGCUUAUCUUGUUGGUCUGUGAGACCAGAGUAAUGAUUAAGAGGGACAGUCGGGGGCAUUCGUAUUUCAUUGUCAGAGGUGAAAUUCUUGGAUUUAUGAAAGACGAACUUCUGCGAAAGCAUUUGUCAAGGAUGUUUUCAUUAA
rnacentral:rRNA from 1 species